AGCAGCCGCGGUAAUUCCAGCUCCAAUAGCGUAUAUUAAAGUUGUUGCAGUUAAAAAGCUCGUAGUUGAAUUUCGGGGUCAGUAGGUUGGUCGUGCCAAUGGUAUGUACUGGCUUUGCUGAUUCCUCCUUCUUGAAGAACUGUAAUGCCAUUAAUUUGGUGUUGCAGGGAAUCGGGACUGUUACUUUGAAAAAAUUAGAGUGUUUAAAGCAGGCUUACGCUUGAAUACAUUAGCAUGGAAUAAUGAAAUAGGACGUUGAUCUUAUUUUGUUGGUUUCUAGGAUUGACGUAAUGAUUAAUAGGGAUAGUUGGGGGCAUUAGUAUUCAAUUGUCAGAGGUGAAAUUCUUGGAUUUAUUGAAGACUAACUACUGCGAAAGCAUUUGCCAAGGAUGUUUUCAUUAAUCAAGAACGAAAGUUAGGGGAUCGAAGACGAUCAGAUACCGUCGUAGUCUUAACCAUAAACUAUGCCGACUAGGGAUCGGAUGAUGUUAAUUUUUAAUGACUCAUUCGGCGCCUUAAC
rnacentral:rRNA from 1 species